GCUGGGCUGGCCUGGGCCUUACCUGCGUCCCCCAGCGCUCUGUUAGAGAUGACGAGCACCCAGGGGAGAAGGAAGCGGCAGAGUUCGGACAAGCCGAGGUGCUCCGUCCCAAACUUGCCAUCCAUGGAGUUUGCCAACGCUGCAGGCUCUGUCCUGUCCCAGAGCCCCUCCUCAGAGACUUCUAGGGAGAAGAGCUGAGUACAAUCAGAGAGAGGGGGAAGACUCUGGAGAGUGACCAGAACCCAGGCCUGUAAUCCCAGCACUCUGGGAGGCUGAGGCAGGAGGAUGUACCCUAGGGUGUCGGGGAUGACCAGAUCUAAAGAGCUGAGCCCCAACUUCCUACAGAUGCAAGCUGAAGCCAGCGUGCAGCAGGAGAAACAGAUUAGGUGCAAGAACUUCCCCGUAGUUAACCAGUGAGAGAACCACUUCUUCUUCACAGGAAAACCUGCAGGUGCCACAUCAGCCUCAUACCGCUUGCAGAAAAUGACACCGCAGCCAGCAGCCCUGUGGCCUACCUGUUAGACAAAGGAAGC